UACCCAUCGAAAACCCCCUUCCCUUUCAUACACACCUCAUCUGAUAUCAAACCCCACCCCAUCCCAUAUCAAGCCACACCCCAUUGAAAAUUCCCUCCUCUUGUAGACACAUCUCAUCACACACCCCAUCAAAUUUACAACAAGCUCCACCGCACAACUCAUCCCCUUUGAAACAGAGCCAUCGCAGAACCUAUCUCUGCAAACCGCCGAACCCCAUUGCAUAACCCAUCUCUACAAACCUGAACCCAUCGCACAACCCAUCACUGAAACAGAGCCAUCACACCCCACAGCCAACCCCAAACGCCUAACCCUGUCGCAAACCACCAUCGCUCCAGUCAUCUCAAACAUCCAUCACCAAUCUGUCAAGUUUUCACAAAUCCUUCGAAGAGCCAAGAGGACUCGCAGAGGUACUACUGAGGCUUCAUCAUCUUGACCUGAUAGACAGCGUUUCAUAGCCUCAACGAGGAGACAGAGAGCGGCUCCCCAAGAUCACUUUGAGGAUACUACAGAGGUUGAAGAUGUAGCUCCUACUCAUGAUAAUAAUGUUGAUGCAAAGGUUGAAGAUGUAGUUGCUACUCAUAA